AGAAAGAUAGAGAUGUGACAACAAAGGAAAGGAAAUAAGAGAAAUAAGGUCCAUCGUGCAUUAAGGUACGAAAGCGUUGUAGCAAGGCAGGGCAGGGGGAAUGGACUCGGUCGCCGUGAUAUCACUCCCUCCCGGCUGGCUGUCACUAGCAGAGCGCGAUUCAAUUUCUGGCACCCACCCGAAUUAAAUGCUAUGCACUCGUGGGUAUUGGUAUCAUGCUCUUGGCAUUGAAUGUGGCUUUCUCUGAGUAAUGAAUGAGGUAGUAGUAAAUCGGGGCUGGUGGGACAGGCUAAUUAAGACUGCCGAGAAGAAGAAGCAUGACUACCACCACCAGCCCGUGAGGCGUCGCAAAGAUAAUCAUCAUGCGUGGGGAUCUGACUGACAGGAAAUGCCAUGUUCUCCCCUUCUCCUCCUUCAGUGUGAUGAGUGAGUGACGGACGCCCGGUUUUGGAAGGGGCCAGUGAAUAGGGCUCCAUUCAUUCAUACAUUCAUCCCUCCUUCCAUGCUCGCCAUUGGUGCCAUUUCGGUGGUGCAUUCAAUGCCCUCCCCCUCAUCCCUCCCUUCCUCCCACUGCCACUAACGGACGGACUACGUCAUCGCUCUC
rnacentral:lncRNA from 1 species